AUUUUGGACAAUGGGGGAAACCCUGAUCCAGCCAUCCCGCGUGUAUGAUGAAGGCCUUCGGGUUGUAAAGUACUUUUGGCAGAGAAGAAAAGGUAUCCCCUAAUACGGGAUACUGCUGACGGUAUCUGCAGAAUAAGCACCGGCUAACUACGUGCCAGCAGCCGCGGUAAUACGUAGGGUGCAAGCGUUAAUCGGAAUUACUGGGCGUAAAGCGUGUGUAGGCGGUUCGGAAAACAAGAUGUGGAAUCCCAGGGCUUAACCCUGGAACUACAAUUUUAACUGCCGGGGUAGGGUAAGGUAGAGGGGGGUAGAAUUCCACGUGUAGCAGUGAAGUGCGUAGAUAUGUGGAGGAAUACCGAUGGCGAAGGCAGCCCCCUGGGAUAAUACUGACGCUCAGACACGAAAGCGUGGGGAGCAAACAGG
rnacentral:rRNA from 1 species